rnacentral:lncRNA from 1 species
GUUUACGAUGGUUCUGGGUUUAGGGUUGAAGGUAGGAGAUAAAGAUUCAUCUUCAUCAUGACGAACAUGACGAAUAUCUGGGAUUCUAGGAUAAAGAAGAGCGGUUAGGGUUCUUGAUAGGGGUUAGGUUUCAUCUAGUUUUAGGUUAGGGUUCGUGUUGUAAGGUUAGGGUUCUUCUGGGUGUGUUAGGGUUCAUCCAAAAGUUGUUAGGAUUCUUUAAGGUUGAAGGG